rnacentral:lncRNA from 1 species
GCUCGCCUCGCUCAAUUUCGUACCAAACUAUGUCUUCAACCUCGCCAUAGUUUGAGGGGGGAUAAUAACGAAUAUGUUGUGGAGUGAUAAGGUGGAGUGAUGUGAUAAGGUGGAGUGAUAAGGUUGAUUAGUUUUAUUCCCCUGGAGUGAUAAGGUUGGUUAGUUGAGGCUAGAGUAUUUUUUUCUGUAAAUAUAUUUGGAUGAUUUAGUGAUAAGGGUUCUUUGAGUAAUUAGCUAGCUUACGUAAAUAUAGUCAGUUGCAGUCCGUGAUUAUUGCCUUACGU